GGAAAGAUGAUCCUGUGGCACUGUGAACAACCACUGAACCUUCUGAAGAGAUUUCUCAUCUGGGCUGUUUUGCUGUAGAUAUUGCUUGUCAUGGGCCCAUGUCCUGGUUCUCGCUAAGGGGAUUAUUUAGGCUGCCCUAGCUGAGUGUGUGUGAAGUCAAGGAUUUCUCCUCACAAAAAACCAAAAUCUCUGGCUGUAAGCAUGCUGCACUUAAGCAAAAGGACUCCAAGCAUCACAUCAAUAACAGGAGGAAUGCAGUAAUUAUUUUGGUCAUUUGAAGCAAAUGAACAGGAGACCAUGAGCAAAAAUACCCUCUAACCAAAACCAAGAGGAAAUGCUGUGAAAAUUGUGAACUCUACAUAGUGUUGGCAACUCUUGAAUAUUACAGUUUUGUAAAUCCUUCUACUUGUUUAGCAAGAAAGGCAAAAAUAUCACUUUGUUUCCAGAGAUUCAUGGGAUCUCUUGUCUCUUUUCCUGGCCUUCCUUUGACUUUCAUGUUUAAAUCCUUGGAAGAGUACAGAACAAAAUUCAUUUAUUUGCCAGGUUUUGCUUUAAAUGAUAUACAACCUCUGCGUUCACCAUAAUUUCCACCUGAAAUCAUAAAUCUGCUCACAGUCAGUCUAGGAUCACGGAGAAAGUUUUUAAAGGGCCCAAAUGGAGGUUUCAUAAUAAAACCUAUCAGCAGGUUUGGAUUUCAUUACAAACAAUUUGUACUGUCCUUUUUCAAAAGGAUGCAAGAACCAUAGAAACUGGCCAAAAGACAAAUCACAACUGAGUCGUGCUGUCACCAGAAAGACCUGAAUUUUUACCUACUGAUCAUGGAAAAAAAUGCUAGUAAUGUUCACCAAUGGGUUUUGUUUGUUAUGUGGUGGGGAUUUUUGUUUUGUUUUGGGUUUCUUUUUAGACAGAACAAGCCAUCUUGUGUGGCUCAAUAUUAGGAUUUUUGCAGUCUAUCUAGUGUACCACCACAAAAAAGCAGCUAAAUUGAAAACUUUCGGAAAGUUAACCAAACACAGGACUGAUCUUUUAUUGUGCCUAGUCUAUCAGAAAGUAAAAAAUUCACCAUAAGAUAUCAAACCAAGAGCAGUUGUCUGCUAACUGAAAGAAGACAGUAGGUUAAUGUUAUGUGUUGGAGAACUGCCCACCUAUAGAAUUAUCAGAAGCCAUAAAGGCCAGAGUUUCUCCAUCUGAAUGUUCAUGUCUUUUUGAUUGGUAUUGAGAGGAGCAUUAUAGAAAACCUAAUUCUAAAGAUUUCUCUCUGCUAAGAGCCAUGCUGCCAUUUUUUUAAAUUAACUUUUUAAGAAAAUUACAGGGCUCUGAAGGCCAAAAUAGCUGAUAUCUUUCAAAAAUGGUGAAAUUAUUAAACCCAUGAAUAGAAUUUGAGAAAUUGAUAUGAAACUACAGCAUUCUUGCAGACAUAUUGUCCAUGCUCAAGAUAAAUGACAGGACUCUGGGCACCUAUGUGUAAUAUAUCUUAAAUGACUUCCUAGAAAGGUCUUGCUAAAAAUACUGCUGUCUGUCUCCAUAAUUGAAUGGUUCUAAUAUGUGCCUUUUAAAAUGCUUAUGCCUAGAAAUUGUACUAAGGCUACUGUGCUUCUAGAAAUUCCUUAUAUGUGGAAAAAAAAAUCAACUAUUUUAAUGUGAUAUUGAUUAUGAUAUGAUAUAUUAAUACACAAUGUCCUUCUGAAAUUUUAUUUCUUUAAUGAAUAAAGAGAAUUUCAUUUAA